AUAGUGAUAGUGAAUCUGGUGGCUCAACCAUACAGGCUAUUGUUCAAACUGUACAACUUGAGAGUGGUAGAGGUCACUGGAAUUUCUUGUGUAGGAGUGAAAUCCGUAGAUAUAAGAAGGAACACCAAUGGCGUAGGCAGGUGACUGGACCAUUUCUGACGCUAAGGCACGAAAGCGUGGGGAGCGAACCGGAUUAGAUACCCGAGUAGUCCACGCCGUAAACGAUGGAUACUG
rnacentral:rRNA from 1 species